rnacentral:rRNA from 1 species
GAUGAACGCUGGCGGCGUGCCUAAUACAUGCAAGUCGAGCGAACAGAUAAGGAGCUUGCUCCUUUGACGUUAGCGGCGGACGGGUGAGUAACACGUGGGUAACCUACCUAUAAGACUGGGAUAACUUCGGGAAACCGGAGCUAAUACCGGAUAACAUUUGGAACCGCAUGGUUCUAAAGUGAAAGAUGGUUUUGCUAUCACUUAUAGAUGGACCCGCGCCGUAUUAGCUAGUUGGUAAGGUAACGGCUUACCAAGGCAACGAUACGUAGCCGACCUGAGAGGGUGAUCGGCCACACUGGAACUGAGACACGGUCCAGACUCCUACGGGAGGCAGCAGUAGGGAAUCUUCCGCAAUGGGCGAAAGCCUGACGGAGCAACGCCGCGUGAGUGAUGAAGGGGUUCGGCUCGGAAAACUCUGUUAUUAGGGAAGAACAAACGUGUAAGUAACUGGGCACGUCUUGACGGUACCUAAUCAGAAAGCCACGGCUAACUACGUG